AUUGAACGCUGGCGGCAGGCCUAACACAUGCAAGUCGAACGAGUGGCGGACGGGUGAGUAAUGUCUGGGAAACUGCCUGAUGGAGGGGGAUAACUACUGGAAACGGUAGCUAAUACCGCAUACCAUCGGAUGUGCCCAGAUGGGGUUAGCUAGUAGGUGGGGUAAAGGCUCACCUUGGCGAUGAUCCCUAGCUGGUCUGGGAGGAUGACCAGCCACACUGGGACUGAGACACGGUCCAGACUCCUCCGGGAGGCAGCAGUGGGGAAUAUUGAACAAUGGGCGCAAGCCUGAUGCAGCCAUGCCGCUUGUAUGAAGCAGGCCUUCGGGUUGUAAAGUACUUUCCGCGGGGAGGCGUUACCCGCAGAAGAAGCACCGGCUAACUCCGUGCCAGCAGCCGCGGUAAUAC
rnacentral:rRNA from 1 species